UACGGGGGGGGCAAGCGUUGUUCGGAAUUACUGGGCGUAAAGGGUUCGUAGGUGGCCAACUAAGUCAGACGUGAAAUCCCUCAGCUUAACUGGGGAACUGCGUCUGAUACUGGUUGGCUUGAGUGCAGGAGAGGAAUGCGGAAUUCCAGGUGUAGCGGUGAAGUGCGUAGAUAUCUGGAGGAACACCGGUGGCGAAGGCGGCAUUCUGGACUGCAACUGAUACUGAUGAACGAAAGCCAGGGGAGCAAACGGG
rnacentral:rRNA from 1 species